AUUAAUAAUAGUGUGGUAACGGGGUUACUGUGUUCAGUCAUGCACGAUUUGAAUUCAAAAAACGUUACCGAAGAUCUGCAGUUCUUGUACAUUUUAAUACAUGGCUAUACCUGGCAAAUGAGAUGAAGUUGUACCACUUCCAUCAGUCCCGACAUUUGUCAAAGAAGUGCAGUUUAUAAAUGACCAAGUGGAUGAAGCAGCCACACUCUCACCGGUCCAGAUAUUCCUCAAAGAAGAGGAAGGUGUAAGUAUUCAUGAAAUACUGACUGUCAGUUACACACUGAAGUAAUGAGAUAACUGUUAAUUGUAUUUCAUUUACCAGUAGUA